rnacentral:lncRNA from 1 species
UUCGCGAAAUGAAUCACGAAUCUGAAUCAAAGGAAAGUUCCCACAACAGGGAAUGAGUUUCUACUGGGGAAUCUAAACGGAGAACACUGUCCAUGGUUCUUGGUCCAGCUUUCAUGUGCACAGCUGCUCACCUUAUAGCCAGCAGUAUACCCCCGGCAGCCCCCCUCUGCCCCGGACCGUCUGCAGGGUCCCACCGGACGCACAAACACACAGGCUCUCAUACAGCUGACCAGAAUCUAUUAAAGCCGCCGGAGGUCUGCGGUGAUGCCCGUGACCCGAGCACCUGUCCUCUCGCGC